CCUACGGGAGGCAGCAGUGGGGAAUCUUGCGCAAUGGGCGAAAGCCUGACGCAGCAACGCCGCGUGCGGGAUGAAGGCCUUCGGGUUGUAAACCGCUUUCAGCAGGGACGAAAAUGACGGUACCUGCAGAAGAAGCCCCGGCUAACUACGUGCCAGCAGCCGCGGUAAUACGUAGGGGGCAAGCGUUGUCCGGAUUUAUUGGGCGUAAAGAGCUCGUAGGCGGUUCCGUAAGUCGAGUGUGAAAAAUCUGGGCUCAACCCAGUGGAGCACUCGAUACUGCGGUGACUAGAGUACGGUAGAGGAGUGUGGAAUUCCUGGUGUAGCGGUGAAAUGCGCAGAUAUCAGGAGGAACACCAACGGCGAAGGCAGCACUCUGGGCCGGUACUGACGCUGAGGAGCGAAAGCGUGGGGAGCAAACAGGAUUAGAUACCCUGGUAGUCCACGCCGUAAACGUUGGGCACUAGGUGUGGGAAGGAAUCAACCCUUUCCGUGCCGUAGCUAACGCAUUAAGUGCCCCGCCUGGGGAGUACGGCCGCAAGGCUAAAACUCAAAUGAAUUGACGG
rnacentral:rRNA from 1 species